rnacentral:rRNA from 1 species
AGCAGCCGCGGUAAUUCCAGCUCCAAUAGCGUAUAUUAAAGUUGUUGCAGUUAAAAAGCUCGUAGUUGAAUUUCGGGAUCGACGGGUCGGUCGCGCCUCUGGUGUGUACUGGCCCUGUCGGUUUCUCCCUUCUGACGAACCACGAUGUCAUUAAUUUGGUGUCGUGGGAAAUCAGGACUGUUACUUUGAAAAAAUUAGAGUGUUUAAAGCAGGCAUUCGCUUGAAUACAUUAGCAUGGAAUAAUGAAAUAGGACGUUUGAUCUUAUUUUGUUGGUUUCUAAGAUCGACGUAAUGAUUAAUAGGGAUAGUUGGGGGCAUUAGUAUUCAAUUGUCAGAGGUGAAAUUCUUGGAUUUAUUGAAGACUAACUACUGCGAAAGCAUUCGCCAAGGAUGUUUUCAUUAAUCAAGAACGAAAGUUAGGGGAUCGAAGACGAUCAGAUACCGUCGUAGUCUUAACCAUAAACUAUGCCGACUAGGGAUCGGAUGAUGUUAAUUUUUAAUGACUCAUUCGGCGUCCGUUACGGUAAACCG